rnacentral:rRNA from 1 species
UACGGAGGGGGCUAGCGUUAAUCAGAAUUACUGGGCGUAAAGCGUGCGCAGGCGGUUGUAUAAGACAGAUGUGAAAUCCCCGGGCUCAACCUGGGAACUGCAUUUGUGACUGUACGGCUAGAGUGUGUCAGAGGGGGGUGGAAUUCCACGUGUAGCAGUGAAAUGCGUAGAUAUGUGGAGGAACACCAAUGGCGAAGGCAGCCCCCUGGGAUAACACUGACGCUCAUGCACGAAAGCGUGGGGAGCAAACAGG